GUAUCGGUUCGCAACUGAAGUUUGCCGGCAAAGCUACUGAGUUCGGGAUUUUCUUUUUGUUCAUCUCUGGGGUUCAUUGGUGUAAGGUAGGCAAAAUUUUGAUCGGGCUGUUUGUUUGGUUCUUGCCCACCGAUUUGGAAAUAAGGUGUGUAGCCCUUGAAAGGCAGUUUCAACUGUGGUUGUGGAAUCCGUGUUGGAUCAGCUCCUGCACCAUCUAUGGCAAAUAAUAAUUAGGUGGUUAAACAUUGAAC
rnacentral:misc_RNA from 1 species